CCCACCCCCUGACCUCGUCUCUCCCCCAACACUCAUAUGAUUUAAUUCCAGGAUGCUUGCAGGAGGAGGCAAGGCCAGGCUGCAGUUGGGAACAAGGAGGUUCACCCUCACACAACUGCCACUGAUUCAUUAAGUUCUGGAAGCCGGAAUUCUGAAAUCAAUAAGUUGCCAGGGCCGUGCUGUCUCUGAAGGUUCUGGAGAAGAAUUCUUCCUUGCCUCUUCCUGGCUUCUGGUGGCUGCUGGCAAUCGUUGGCAUUCCUCGGCUUGUAACUGCGUCACUGUAAUAUCUACCUUCGCCUUGACGUGGCUCUCUUCCCUCUGGGUGUGUCUCUCUGUCCCCAAAUCUCCCUUUCCUUAUAGUGAAUGCAGUCUUAGGCUUUAGGUCCAGUCAAUCCAGUAUGACCUCAUCUCAACUUGAUUCCACCUUCCGGACCCAAUUUCCAAAUAAGGUCACGUUCAUAGGUACCGCAGGUUAGGACUUCAACAUGCCUUUUUAGGGAACAUAACUCAACAACCACUACAGAGUAUUAUCAAAUAAUCCGUGGAAUUUCAACACUGAUUUCCAGAUCGUCUACUAAAGGAAAGGGUGAGGUCCUCCAAGUUGGAAUGCUUAGCAUCCAAACAACGUGCAGAUGCCUACUGUGAAACAACACGCCUCCUGACCACAAACACCACUGGGAAGAAAGAAAAGAGAGUUUUUCCACAUUGGCAAAUGACUUUGGUACAAAGAAUGUGUGAAAGCAAAGAGAUUCUUUCCCCUGGGCUUCAUCACUGCAAAUAUGUACUGUCAGGUAGAUUGGCUCUUAGGUCUAAAAUAUAAGACCCUUUGAGCAGAGCGGCUAUAUACAGCAAGUGCAAAAGAUGGAGAAACAAAGCAAAACAGAAACCGAAGCAUAGUUCAGGUAGAUUCUCGUUUCUGGUCAUGAAGACUGCGCCCCUCUCCUCUCCGGUGUGAACUGCAGUGCGUCCCUGAGGUUUUGGGGGAGGACUUGACACGGAGGAUGAGAGCACAGGGGCAGAAUCCUUGGUUGGCCUGUAACGCUCCAUGAUCUUUCACAAGG
rnacentral:lncRNA from 1 species